GAGCGAGUGGUGGCGCGGCAGUCUUCUUCUUACCUCGCAUCUCUGCGAUCUCUGCGUAGCAAAUCGCUUGCGAAAAGCUUCGUGUGGUUCUUUGUGAGACAAGGCGAGUUCGAGUGGACGACCAACGAGAGACGGGUUCACCUGAAACGCCCAGCGGUGACGAAAGAGAGAUAAGGGCUUCUGCCACUGAGCGGACACUCGAAUAACCUAGACAGCCUCCGGGUGUUACAAAUCAAUGGGCAGUGACAUUCCAUUAAUUAGUAAAUUCACUGCAAGGAUAGUCCAGUAUAUUCAGUCCCACAAUAGUGGUCAAUACAAAAAUACAACCAUUGUUAUCACCCACCUUGAAUCUUAAUACGGGGAAAAGCAGCUCUAAUCGCAUUAGGAGAAGCAUAAAAAAAGUCAAUAUAUGGGGAAAAUGUAUUCGUAGCAAUACGGAGACGAUUUAAUGGCUUAUGGUAACCACACGAUGAACGAAGAGACUCAACAUGAAACAAUUCAGCCCGCCUUACGGUCCUACCAGGGACAUGCAGACCGAUGCAUUCCAGCAAAUCUGGGCAAUCAAUGCGACCGCUAAUUAUGUUCCGCACAAACACCAGAUCCGCCUGAGUUCUCCUGUCCCUCAAAGAUAACAAGCCCAAUUCGCGAUGCAAAUAAUCAUAAUCGUGGUCAAAAAAGUUCAUCGGUCUAAGCAACCUAAAACUGACCCGGCGGAGAAAGCGGUGCUGGAUACGCUCAAUCAUGUCGCACUGAUAUACCAGAUAGGGAGCCCAAACUAUAGAUGCGUAUUCGAGCAGAGGUCUCACGAGGGAACAAUACAGAAGCCUCAAGGAUAAGUCGCUACAAAACGUCACACCCAGAUCACGGAUGGAAUCAACCUUGAUAAGAGUAGUUCCACUCAGUCUUAUCUCGGGUGUUGUAGUCUUAGCCGACUAUUUUAACCUCACUAUUUUAGGUGAAAGAAUCAAAGCCGACUCGUUACUAACAGAGGUUGCCUUCGGGUGACAGAGUUCUUGUGGACUCUUGCAGCUUCAUCCAUUACAUGGACGUGUGCUCUCUGGAGCAGCUCACUCGCUGAUUUCUUAGUCAGCCGCUUUACGGUGCCUCUAAUAACUGAGGUGGUAACGUUCUUCGAGCGUUCU
rnacentral:lncRNA from 1 species